CGUAGAAAACAAAACAAAUGCAUCAAAGUUGAAAACUGGAAAACCAUUUCAACAACAAUCCAAGAUUGGCAUUCAAUCAACAAUGAAAACUCGAUCUACAAUUGAAAACCCAGUUCCGUCUUGCAGUCAUCACGAACUUCAAGACAUCCAUAUGACUGAAAUUUCACAUUCGGAUACUCCUUCAAUAAGACAAACCAAUAUUCGUUCAAGAACUACAGUAAGUAACAAAUGAAAUCUACAUAAACACUUGCUGAGUGAAAAUAAUUUUUACUAUUUAAAGAAACGCCAUCUAGCAAU